AGCACCGGCUAACUACGUGCCAGCAGCCGCGGUAAUACGUAGGGUGCAAGCGUUAUCCGGAAUUAUUGGGCGUAAAGGGCUCGUAGGCGGUUCGUCGCGUCCGGUGUGAAAGUCCAUCGCUUAACGGUGGAUCCGCGCCGGGUACGGGCGGGCUUGAGUGCGGUAGGGGAGACUGGAAUUCCCGGUGUAACGGUGGAAUGUGUAGAUAUCGGGAAGAACACCAAUGGCGAAGGCAGGUCUCUGGGCCGUCACUGACGCUGAGGAGCGAAAGCGUGGGGAGCGAACAGGAUUAGAUACCCUGGUAGUCCACGCCGUAAACGGUGGAUGCUGGAUGUGGGGACCAUUCCACGGUCUCCGUGUCGGAGCCAACGCGUUAAGCAUCCCGCCUGGGGAGUACGGCCGCAAGGCUAAAACUCAAAGAAAUUGACGGGGGCCCGCACAAGCGGCGGAGCAUGCGGAUUAAUUCGAUGCAACGCGAAGAACCUUACCUGGGCUUGACAUGUUCCCGACAGCCGUAGAGAUACGGUCUCCCUUCGGGGCGGGUUCACAGGUGGUGCAUGGUCGUCGUCAGCUCGUGUCGUGAGAUGUUGGGUUAAGUCCCGCAACGAGCGCAACCCUCGCCCUGUGUUGCCAGCACGUCGUGGUGGGAACUCACGGGGGACCGCCGGGGUCAACUCGGAGGAAGGUGGGGAUGACGUCAGAUCAUCAUGCCCCUUACGUCCAGGGCUUCACGCAUGCUACAAUGGCCGGUACAACGGGAUGCGACCUCGUGAGGGGGAGCGGAUCCCUUAAAACCGGUCUCAGUUCGGAUUGGAGUCUGCAACCCGACUCCAUGAAGGCGGAGUCGCUAGUAAUCGCGGAUCAGCAACGCCGCGGUGAAUGCGUUCCCGGGCCUUGUACACACCGCCCGUCAAGUCAUGAAAGUGGGUAGCACCCGAAGCCGGUGGCCCAACCUUUUGGGGGGAGCCGUCUAAGGUGAGACUCGUGAUUGGGACUAAGUCGUAACAAGGUAGCCGUACCGGAAGGUGCGGCUG
rnacentral:rRNA from 1 species